AAUCCAUAAUUCCAUUUUUAUGUAAAAAUCGCAGAGCAAAAGUUAGCUGCUAAUGGUAGCCACCAGAGUGGCUGCUGCUUCCGGUCUGAGUAGCAUGAAGCUGCAGCGUCGGAGACAGCAGUUACAGGACCGCAGUUACAGGACCGCAGUUACAGGACCGCACCACGUGACGGCGGCACGUGACGGAGCACGUUCACAUGAAUGUGAACGUCAAUGCAGAGAAUAUGCAUAUUACAAUCCGAGAGGGGGAGAUCCUUGCCCGACUUACAGCGAUGUACUCUGGAGGCCAGAAGCUUGCUGGAGGGAACCCUUCAGCCAGUGUUCAGAGUGCCACGACAGGUUAUCUCCCUAGAGAGGGAACAGCAGACCCCGCCUCACCCCCAGUGAAGAAACAGCAGACCCCGCCUCACCCCCAGUGACUGACCCAUCUGAUUUAAUAUAUAUGUCAAUAUAUCACAUUUUACUCUAUGAGCUCUGCCAAAACUGCCUGACAGCAGACCCCCACAGUGUGGAAAUAAAAAUAAAUAAAAAUGUAUUCUGAAACAGUG